rnacentral:rRNA from 1 species
GAUGAACGCUGGCGGCGUGCUUAACACAUGCAAGUCGAACGAGAAGUGAAGACGGAAACCUUCGGGCGGAAGGCUUUAUUUCGAGUGGCGGACGGGUGAGUAACGCGUGGGUAACCUGCCUCAUACAGGGGGAUAACAGUUGGAAACGACUGUUAAUACCGCAUAAGACCACAGCACCGCAUGGUGCGGGGGUAAAAACUCCGGUGGUAUGAGAUGGACCCGCGUUCGAUUAGCCAGUUGGCGGGGUAACGGCCCACCAAAGCGACGAUCGAUAGCCGAUCUGAGAGGAUGACCGGCCACAUUGGGACUGAGACACGGCCCAAACUCCUACGGGAGGCAGCAGUGGGGAAUAUUGCACAAUGGGGGAAACCCUGAUGCAGCGACGCCGCGUGAGUGAAGAAGUAUCUCGGUAUGUAAAGCUCUAUCAGCAGGGAAGAAAAUGACGGUACCUGAGUAAGAAGCCCCGGCUAACUACGUG